CCCUUAGAUGUUCUGGGCUGCACGCGCGCUACACUGAAGCUAUCAACACGUUUUCCCUCCCUGAGAAGGGCGGGUAACCUUUUGAAUCAGCUUCGUGGUAGGGAUCGGGGCUUGCAAUUGUUCCCCGUGAACCAGGAAUUCCUAGUAGACGCGAGUCAUAAGCUCGCAUCGAUUAAGUCCCUGCCCUUUGUACACACCGCCCGUCGCUACUACCGAUUGAACGUUUUAGUGAGGCAUUUGGACCGACGCAUCUCAGUUUAACCGCUGGUUUGUGUUGGAAAGACUUCCUAACUUGAGCGUUUAGAGGAAGUAAAAGUCGUAACA
rnacentral:rRNA from 1 species